UACGAAGGGGGCUAGCGUUGCUCGGAAUUACUGGGCGUAAAGGGUGCGUAGGCGGGUCUUUAAGUCAGAGGUGAAAUCCUGGAGCUCAACUCCAGAACUGCCUUUGAUACUGGCUGUCUUGAGUUCGGGAGAGGUGAGUGGAAUGCCGAGUGUAGAGGUGAAAUUCGUAGAUAUUCGGCGGAACACCAGUGGCGAAGGCGACUCACUGGCCCGAUACUGACGCUGAGGCGCGAAAGCGUGGGGAGCAAACAGG
rnacentral:rRNA from 1 species